GAUGAACGCUGGCGGCGUGCUUAACACAUGCAAGUCGAACGGAAAGGCUCCUGCUUGCAGGGGUACUCGAGUGGCGAACGGGUGAGUAACACGUGGGUGAUCUGCCCUGCACUUCGGGAUAAGCCUGGGAAACUGGGUCUAAUACCGGAUAGGACCACAUUUUGGAUGGUGUGGUGGAAAGUUUUUCGGUGUGGGUUGAGCUCGCGGCCUAUCAGCUUGUUGGUGGGGUAAUGGCCUACCAAGGCGUCGACGGGUAGCCGGCCUGAGAGGGUGUACGGCCACAUUGGGACUGAGAUACGGCCCAGACUCCUACGGGAGGCAGCAGUGGGGAAUAUUGCACAAUGGGCGCAAGCCUGAUGCGGCGGCGCCGCGUGGGGGAUGACGGCCUUCGGGUUGUAAACUCCUUUCGCUGGGGACGAAGCGCAAGUGACGGUACCUGGAGAAGAAGCACCGGCUAACUACGUG
rnacentral:rRNA from 1 species